GUAGGUGGCAAGCGUUGUCCGGAAUUAUUGGGCGUAAAGCGCGCGCAGGCGGUUCUUUAAGUCUGAUGUGAAAGCCCACGGCUCAACCGUGGAGGGUCAUUGGAAACUGGAGAACUUGAGUACAGAAGAGGAAAGCGGAAUUCCACGUGUAGCGGUGAAAUGCGUAGAGAUGUGGAGGAACACCAGUGGCGAAGGCGGCUUUCUGGUCUGUAACUGACGCUGAUGCGCGAAAGCGUGGGGGGAGCAAACAGGAUUAGAUACCCUGGUAGUCCACGCCGUAAACGAUGAGUGCUAAGUGUUAGGGGGUUUUCCGCCCCUUAGUGCUGCAGCUAACGCAUUAAGCACUCCCGCCUGGGAGUACGGCCGCAAGGCUG
rnacentral:rRNA from 1 species